GUCCAGACUCCUACGGGAGGCAGCAGUGGGGAAUAUUGCACAAUGGGGGAAACCCUGAUGCAGCAACGCCGCGUGGGUGAAGGAGCGUUUCGGCGCGUAAAGCCCUGUCAGCGGGGAAGAAGAAAGACGGUACCCGACCAAGAAGCCCCGGCUAACUACGUGCCAGCAGCCGCGGUAAUACGUAGGGGGCGAGCGUUAUCCGGAUUUAUUGGGUUUAAAGGGUGCGCAGGCGGAUUUUUAAGUCAGCGGUAAAAUCGUGGGGCUCACCCCCAUCCAGCCGUUGAAACUGGGGAUCUAGAGUGUGCGAGAGGUAUGCGGAAUGCGUGGUGUAGCGGUGAAAUGCAUAGAUAUCACGCAGAACCCCGAUUGCGAAGGCAGCAUACCGGUGCACAACUGACGCUCAUGCACGAAAGUGUGGGUAUCGAACAGGAUUAGAUACCCUCGUA
rnacentral:rRNA from 1 species